AUUGAACGCUGGCGGCAUGCUUUACACAUGCAAGUCGAACGGUAACAGGGUGCUUGCACCGCCGACGAGUGGCGAACGGGUGAGUAAUGCGUCGGAACGUGCCGAGUAGUGGGGGAUAACGCAGCGAAAGUUGUUCUAAUAACGCAUACGUACUGAGGUAGAAAGUGGGGGACCUUCGGGCCUCACGCUAUUCGAGCGGCCGACGUCUGAUUAGCUAGUAGGUGAGGUAAAGGCUCACCUAGGCGACGAUCAGUAGCGGGUCUGAGAGGAUGAUCCGCCACACUGGGACUGAGACACGGCCCAGACUCCUACGGGAGGCAGCAGUGGGGAAUUUUGGACAAUGGGCGAAAGCCUGAUCCAGCCAUGCCGCGUGUCUGAAGAAGGCCUUCGGGUUGUAAAGGACUUUUGUCAGGGAGGAAAUCCCUAGUGCUAAUAACACUGGGGGAUGACAGUACCUGAAGAAUAAGCACCGGCUAACUACGUGCCAGCCGCCGCGGUAA
rnacentral:rRNA from 1 species